UGUUUUGAAAAUCUUGCUGAUUUGCCAAACAAACCUCCAGUCUGAUCUCUUUCUUUUGUAAGUUACAUAAGUCGUGCUGUGUGAACUAACAUCUUGUCACUCAUUGUCCUAAAGCAAGAGCCAAACUGGUGAGAAGCCACCUACUGUUGAAUAUCAAGCCUCUGCCAAAAAGGCAACAGCGACAUGCUGUUCUGCUCUGCCCUGAGUGAUCAAACAAUUCGGAGAGCAAACAGGAACUCCAGCAGCAGGAAUCAAAGGCCUUCCCAGCCAGAGUGGAGAGAAGCAAGGGAGAGGUCUGAGUUUAAGGUGAGAGUCCUCCUCUACCAUGUGUUCUACCACAGACCUAAAGCAAAAGGACUGAGCAUCCAUGGACUGAAACCUCUGAAUCCAUGAGCCAAAAGAAGCCUUUUCUCUUUCUAAAUUGAUUAUCUCAGGGUUUUUAUGUUGGAGUUGAAAUAACAAGCUUGGUACUAUCAAGAUAUGCCAAUUCAAACAAAAUGAGAAGAGAUCAAAUAAAUAAUAGCCAACUAGGAUAUGUGGAGAUGUUUAUUGAGUUGCAUCAUAUUCUUGUUUUCUGUUGAUGUUCUUCGCCCUGUUUGUCCUUGAAGAUGAGGGUAAUCUUUCAGGUCAUCCAGUACAGAGACAGCCUGUGGAUCAUUGCGUCUUAAGAAAUAAAGGACCUUAGAGAUCACAGCCUUCCAAUCUAUGUUACCUGUAUUCGGAUAAUCUAGAAUCAAAAUCUAGCCUCUGCCUGAACUCUUAAGUUUAUGAGGCUGACAGCUACAUCAUUUUCUGAACUGUUCCAAAUUAUGGAAGCAUUUUAUUUAAGCUACAGGAUGUUCAGUGGAAUUUUUUGCUGUUGUCUACAGAUGCCCACGAGUUGGAAAACAAAACAUUCUAAAUUAAGAAGGAGCUAGACUUGCAAAUGAGGUGAUCUUAAACUGGGUCUGCCUGAACUAGCUAUCGCUCACUUCAGGCAUAGCAAGGUUGAGUGACUUCAGGGAAGAUAUAACUUUGGGGAAUAUUUUCUGUGUGCCAUAGUGUGAGAGUCCAUCUUUACCUCCCUACGCUAAGUACAAAGGAGGAUCCGGCUAAAACUUCAUGUUAGUCAGUUUUCCAUUGCUAUAACAAAUACCUGAGACAAACAACAUAUAGAGGAAAGGUUUAUUUUGACUCACAGCAAUGGAAGUUUCAGUUGAUAAUUGGUUGGAGCUGUUGCUUGGGACUGGUGGUGGCACAUCAUGUCAAGAAUGUAUGUUGGAAUAAAACUGCUCAUCUCAUGACUAGAAGUGAAAAAGAGAGGAAGAGACAGAGAUCUCACCAUUCCCUUCAAAGGUACACCCCCAAUAACCUAAAUGCCUCCUACCUCUUAAUGAUAUACCACCUCCAACAGCACCACCCUGGUGAACAAUCUUUCACCACAUGAACCUUUGGAAGAAACUUAAAAUUCAAACUAUUCACAAAACCUGACAUGUAAUCCAAAGGUUUCACCAAAAAACUAUCAGAACUAAUAAAUUUAGCAAAGUUACAGGAUACAAAAUGAACAUGCAAAAAAUCAGUAGUAUUUCUUUAUGUCAAGAGCAAAUUUUGUGAAAUGGAAAUCCAGAAAACAAUUCUAUUUUCAAUAACUACAACAAUAAAAACAACUAGAACUCAAUUUAACCAAAGAGGUGAAAGAUCUCUACAAUGAAAACUAUAAAACAUUGAUGGAACUAAUUGAAGAGGAGAUUUUAAAAAAUGGAAAGACAUCAUGUGCUCAUGGAUUGAAAGUGACAGUAUUUUUUAAAUGCCCAUAUCACCCAAAGUGAUCCACAGAGAAAAUGCAAUCCCUAUCAAAGUUUCAAUGAAAUUUUUCACAGAACUAGAAAAAAAUCCUAAAAUUUGUAUGAAACCAUAAAAAUCCCUGACGUUACUGAACUUCAAUAUAUACUAAAAAGCAAUAGUCAUUAAAAUAGCACGACACAUGGAACAGAAUAGACAGUCUAGAUAUAGACUCACACAUUGACAGCCAACUGAUUUUUAACAAAGGUUUUAAGAACAUUCAUUGGAAAAAGGACAGUAAUUUCAAUAAAUAGUGCUGAGAAAAUUUAAUAGUCACAUGCAGAAGGAAGAAUGUAGGCCUCUAUCUCUCACCACUCACAAAAAUCAACUCAAAAUAGAUUAACAAUUUAAAUGUAAGACCUGAAUCUAUGAAACUACUAGAAAAAAACAGUUAAAAUGCUUUAGAAUAUUGGAUAGGCAAGGUUUUAUGGAUAAAACCCUGAAAGCACAGGAAACAAAAAAUUAGACAAAUGGGUUAUAGGAAGCUAAAAAGAACAGCAAAAGAAACAAUUAGGAUGAAGAGACAACCUACAGAAUUGGGGAAAACAUUUGCAACAUGUACAUCUGACAAGAUAUCAAUGCACAGAACGUAAAGGGAAUGCAAAAAUGCAAAUGAAAAAAAUUCCACAAAUCACCUGAUUUAAAGAUGGACCUAAGCAGACAUUUCUCUAAAGAAGAGAUGCAAGUGGCCAAUAAGUGUUUGAAAAAAUACUCAGCAUCAUGGAAAUACUCAGCAUCAGGGAAAUGCAAAUCAAAACUACAAUGGGCUAUCACCUCACCCCAGCAAAAUGGCUAUUAUCAAAGACUAAAUAUAACAAGUGCAGAUGAUAAUGUAGAGAAAAUGGAAGACUUUCACACUCUUAAUAGGAAUAUAAAUUAGUAUAGCCAUUAUGGAGAAAGCAUAGUCUUCUCAAAAAACUUAAAAAAAAUACUAUAUGAUUCAAAAUUCCACUACUGGGUUUAUAUCUCCAAAGGAAAUAAAAUCAGGACUGGUAUAGGUCAGUUGCUCGCGUACUUGCCUAGUGUACACAAGGCCCUGGUUCAAUCCCCAGCAUCACCAAAAUAAAUAAAUAAACAAACAAACAAAUAAAACAAUAGCCCAAAAUGGAAACAACGUAAGCAUCCAUCAACUGAUAAACAGAUGAAGAAAGUGUGGUGUGUAUAUAUAUAUAUACAAUGGAAUAAUACAAGCUAUAAAAAAGGAAUGAAAUUCUUUCAUGCGUAACAAUAUGGAUGGAGCUAGAGAACAUCAUGUUAAGUGAAAUAAGCCAGGGACAGAAAGACGAGUGUUGCACGUUCUCACGUACAGGUGGGGGUCUUAAAAAGUUGAUCUCAUAGAAAGAUUGAAUGUUAAUGACUAGAGACUGGAAGGGCAGGGAAAGAUGGGGUGGAGAUGGGCUGAUCAAAGAGUACAAAGUUACCGUUAGAAAUGUAUAAGAGAUUCUGGUGUGCCCUGGCACAACAGAGUAAGUACUGAUAACAAUAAUGUACUGUAUAUUUCAAAAUGCUAGAAAAUUUUUGAAAAUUUUACCAUAAAGAAAAGAUAAAUGCUUGAGAUAAAUGUGUUUAACCUGAUUUAAACAUUAUACAAUGUGCAUAUAUAUAUUGUAACAACACAUGUACCCCAUUACUGUGUAUCAUUUAUGUAGAUAACAUAUACAUAUAUUAUAUUUCAGUUAAGAUAAGUUUAAUUAAUAAAAAUGGUACCUGAUAUGUAUUGGUCAAGCUCUGGACAUUUGGAAACAGGACACUUGAGUUACUCUUAAACAGUUUGCUGGUGACAGGCUGUGGGUGGAGCUGCCCUUGCUGGUGGCAGUGGGAAGAAAAACUCUGGGAAUGAGCUGCACUUGUUCCAACUGUAGACAGAUACAUGUCCUUGCCAGUGCCUAGACCUGAAUCUCAUUGGGGGAAACUGCAGAGAGGGCAGCUUGAAAGGGUCCAGUCCAAAAGGACUGCAUAAAGGGCAGUAAGAUCCCACCAGGUGGGCCACAGGAAGCUCAGAGUAGUCACAAGCAGCCAGCUGGAGAUGUGAUCUUGCUCAAGUUGACCUACAUUUGGCAAAUCCUCAGGAAGUUUGUCAAAACAUCAGUGAGAGAAACCAUCCCUGGGAGAGCCUUGGUAGGGCUCCACCCACCCCAUACGACUGAGCCAUUUCUGCUGAGUCCUCCCUCUGUACUGGGUUUGUCCCUGGAGCCAUCAAAUGGAGCACAGAGGUGGAGGGAGGACAGAGGGGUACAAUCCCUCAGGUGGUUCAGAUUGCAGCCAGAUGCAGGGGAA